GAGAGACACUCGAUCAGCGAGCUAAGACGGAGGCAUCGUGUGUGGGGAGCAUUUAAGUUUUAUCGUGGAGGUCGACUACCCGUUGUCCUGAUAUAAACUUCUGUGUGACCUGCAAGAGGAGACGGACGUUGGAGAAGGAGAGAGAUUGAGACUGUCCAGACAGACGGCCCUGUUGUUUUUAUUCUUCUUCGUGACUCUGCUGCUGAGCGCCAUUGCCCGUGUGUGUGCUGGAACUGUGACUGCCAUUGCCCUUAUGAGACUGUUAGUAGGGAUAGAAAGGGGAAACGAUGGCAAACCAUUGGAUUCGUGAGUACUAACUGAAAACAGUUUGAAAGUGCACGUGCUUUUAUUUUUGCUCAGUUGAGUGAAGCGGCCAUUACAGUUUUUAGGCCCCACCGCACACAAGCUUCAUCCAUCAGGCCUGCAACGGGUUUGGGUUUAUUUUCUGGUGUGUUGUGUGUGAAUGUGUGUGGGCCCACUGGUACAACAAAAGGUAUUUUUGAAAAGUGAAAGAAGUGUUUUAUUUUCUUAUUUGAGGUAUUCAAUUUUAUUAUACAAGGGUACAAAGUGAAAGGCUUUUAUUUUGAAACUAAAAGGGAAGUAACCUGUGAAAGAGCUGUGAACUUUGUCUAUAACUUGUCUCUUUAUUCCCUAAUAACACAUAUUUCUAUUUUACUUUUUUUUGUUGUCAAUUGUGUAAAUAAAUACCAGUGAGAGUUUUAUAUUUAAAGUACAAUUGUGGGGGUCAUUAUUAAAAUAGCCUUAUUAAAAUAGUAUUCAUUAUUAAACUAAGAUUCAUUAUUAAAGUAAAAUUUAGUUGUAUUUUCCUACAACGAGCCCAGGCCCAGUCUCAUUGUAUUAACCAUUCUAGCUUUUCUUUUAACUACAUGGGACCUGGGUUACAUUACAAGACUCAACCGCAUGCCUGCUGACGAGGACCAGAGGGCGGGAGCACAUUACACCAGUUUUAGAGUCACUGCAGUGGCUCCCCAUCCGCUUCAGGAUCGAUUUUAAGGGUGGCCCUCCACACUGGGAGGUGUGACUGUGCUGCUGCUGCUGUUGUCUGCCAGGGUUGGAUGGGCCUGGGCAAUCCUCAGUGCCUUGCCAUGUCUGUGUGUGUGUGUGGAUGUGUGUGUGGGUAUGUGGUAUGGAGGGUGGGAGCGAGGGGCUUUCUUUAUUCUUUAUUAUGCUUUUGUUUUUCUUGUGUAAAGCAUGCUGCACAUGCGUGUAUGAAAAGUGCUCUAUAAAUAAAGUUGAUUUGAUUUGAUUUGAUUUGAUUUGAUUUACAAGUUAGUUGGCCCAGGCCCAAUAGGCCCACCCACAACAUCAUGCCAGGCUAAUGCCCUGCUGCAUGUGACCGGUUCAACUCAAUGUCUGGGUCAUUAUCGACACCAUCCUGGUGCAUUAAUAUUUCUAACUGCAUGUGGUACAUAAAUGGAAUACACACCCAUCUCUGCAAAGCUCCUGUCACUUGAGUGUAUCUUAAUCAUAGAAAUGUCAUACAUUUGUAUACUUACAUACAUUUUUUUUCCUGUAGUUGUAUUUCAGAUACUGAUUCUAUUUGAUUUCACAACAUGUCAAGCUUUCAAGACUCAAGUAUUUGUAUCCCUAGCUGACCACAUAAACUACAGCAGAGAUAUAAAGCAUCAUGUAUGUUCUCUGCUGUCCUUAUUGUAAAGUCGUGGAAAAGGACUUAACAAGGAUUCACUCAGGACAGACUGUGAUGCAAAAAAGCAAAUUAUUUUUAGUUAGUUUCAAUUCAGUUAUAAUAUAAUACAUAUCUCUCUCUAGUCUUUGCUUUUCUUUGUCUCUCUUUCACUCACUCCUUCUAUCUCUGCUCACACUCU